rnacentral:rRNA from 1 species
UACGGAGGGUGCAAGCGUUAUCCGGAUUCACUGGGUUUAAAGGGUGCGUAGGCGGGCAGGUAAGUCCGUGGUGAAAUCUCCGAGCUUAACUCGGAAACUGCCAUGGAUACUAUUUGUCUUGAAUACUGUGAAGGUGAGCGGAAUAUGUCAUGUAGCGGUGAAAUGACUUAGAUAUGACAUAGAACACCAAUUGCGAAGGCAGCUCACUGCGCAGUGAUUGACGCUGAGGCACGAAAGCGUGGGGAUCAAACAGG